UCCAACUUUGACUGUCUGUUUUAUAUGAUUUUUUUUGUAAUUUGUAUUUUUAUUGUUGUUAGAUGAUAAAACAUGAUUAAUAUUUUAUGCGUGACUUGUUUUUUUAAUUUUUUUUCAUAAUUUUUUUAAAUAAGACGGACGGUCAAAUGUUGGACAUGAAAAC
rnacentral:pre_miRNA from 1 species